rnacentral:misc_RNA from 1 species
UACGUAGGGUGCAAGCGUUAUUCGGAAUUACUGGGCGUAAAGGGCGUGUAGGCGGCACGAGGAGUCUCGCGUUAAAUCUCUCGGCUCAACCGAGAGCUCGCGCGGGAAACCAUCGAGCUCGAGUUCUGCAGGGGCGAGCGGAAUUCCCGGUGUAGCAGUGAAAUGCGUUGAUAUCGGGAAGAACACCAAUGGCGAAGGCAGCUCGCUAGGCAGUAACUGACGCUGAGGCGCGAAAGCGUGGGUAGCGAACAGG